rnacentral:lncRNA from 1 species
UUACGUAGAGUUAAAAAAGAACACAUCACAUGUAAUAAGUAAUAAUGUAAUAAGUGCUAAGAGGGGUUAAGGAGAGGGCAUGUGAAAGUGGGAAAGGAGAAGAGAAUACAGCUGUGUACGCCGCUCGCUCUCUCUCUCUCUCUCUUUUUCUUUCCCCAUCAAGAAAGUUCUCCACUUCCACCGCCCACCUUCUCUCUUCAUACCUUCUUCUUCUUCUUCAUCUCUCUUUUUAUUAUUUAUUUAUUAUCUGCUAUAUUAUUAUUAGCAUCUUCUCAAUUAUGUAUUACCCAAUUGUUCUCCUUAACAUUCACGAACUUUUCCUGUAAAGUUUUUUCCUUUUUUAGAUAGCUUAAGAACCUGCGGUGUAUAUGUGCACAGCGUCAUUUGGUGAUGAAAAUGAAAUGUUGUAACAAACAGUUAUAAGUUGAGGCUAUUUAUUAGGAGUGUAUAAUGUCGACAGUGGCAGUGUCUGCAUCGACGUUUCAGCUUGCAGCUAAAUUUAGAUAUGAUGCUAUUUAAUUCCUUUACUCAUUAAAACUUCAUCCUUCCUAUAUUUCUUCACCUCAACUUUAGUGUCUCAAAUGUACUUGUCUCCAGUAUUUUAAUAAUAUUAUAUUUUAG